rnacentral:misc_RNA from 1 species
UUUUCAUGAUAUUCAGAUAUAAUCUAAACAUUUGUGUGGUAAUUACUAUUGAUUAGUUUAUGCUUUGUAAAAAGUUUAGAUUGUUUGCUCAUUUGGGCUUGUCGCCAUUUUUCAACAGUAUUUCAGCCGUGUAACGACAGGCGGCUAACCUAACUGGUGUUCGGUACUAACCUGUUCUCUGCUGCUGUAUUUGAGCAUAGUCUUGUACUCCCCAGCUCUUGCGCUUCAAGCAGUUGCUGGAAUUCCAGUGUGGUUAUCAAUUGUAUUGAUAGGAGUAUUAGGAACUGUUUAUACCGCUAUUGGCGGAAUGAGAACUGUUAUAUGGACAGACACAUUCCAGUUUGUGAUGCUUUAUGGUGGUCUGACAGUGAUCCUUAUACUGGAUAAGCCCAGAUCCUCGUGUACGCCAUACAGUGUGGGGAUGUGUCAUCAGUGGUGUGUUUAACUUGCUGCCAAAUUGCUGUAACCAGUCAGCAAUACAGAUGAUAUCUUCCAUAGAAAAAGCAAAGGAUGCUAAAAUCGCCACCCUCUUGAAUAUACCACUAGCCAUAAUCUUCAGUUCCAUUCUUACAUUGACUGGACUGGUGCUUUAUGCAUACUUCGUCAUAAAAGCAUGUGAUCCUUUGGCUAAUGAUCAGGUGUCAAAUUCGAAUCAGUUGAUGAUAUAUUUCGUCCUGACUGCGUUAGAUGAUGUGCCGGGGCUUGCUGGGAUAUUUCUUGCAGCAGUUUUCAGCGGAGCGUUAAGAUGUGUAACACAGCUUUUGGAGCAGCCGGUGGUCCAGUUGUUGGCAUAUUUUUCCUGGGUGCUAUAUUUCCUCAGGCUAACAAAAAAGUAAAAAAUGAAAUUUCUAGAUUACUUACUAUCAAUCUCACUAAUGGAAUUUGCUUGUCCGUCCUAUGUUGAAAAUUGAUUAAAUAACUAGAAAAUUAGUCAUCAGCAAACUUUGAAAGACAAAUAAAUUAUAUUUUGUCAAAUUUUAAUUACUUUACCAAUGUGGUGAUUGUAAAUACAAUAUUCAGCGAAAGUAUCUGUGCAUUCUAAUAUUUGUAAAUUUUAUUUAGUCAUUUCUUUGAUAAUAGGGAGCUUUAAUAGGAGGUAUAUGUAGCACUGCUAUCAAUAUGUGGAUUGCUCUUGGUUCCUUUCUGUAUGGAAAAAAAGCCCCACAGUCGGAACCAAUCUCAACAUCUGGGUGCUUCCAAAAUGAAACGGACUUAUCUACGUUGAAUGUAACUGUAUCAACAAGAAGCUAUUACAGUUCAAUAGUAAAUGCCACUUUUGAACGUUAUUGGGAUGAGUCAACAACAGUGGAUAUGUUCGAUUAUCAUCAGGGCAUGAUGGACGAUCACCUUGCUGUCUAUGAUUUGUCCUAUGUUUGGCUUGGAUUUAUAGGAUUUCUAACAGCGAUAAUCAUCGGUUUGGCAGUCAGUUUUAUUACAGGUAAAGAUAGAGAACACCCUACAGAGCCAAUAUACAUUAUUCCAUUUCUACGACGUGUGUGGAGAUUCGACAAGUCAGCUUCACAUGAAAACCCAAAAACUGAAAACUGUUUUGUUUCUAGCGAUAAGGAAAUAGAACUGAGUGGUGCGAAUAAGAGAAUUGCUAUUGAACAAAUUGAUUGAAUGACAGCAAAAAUAUGUGUAUUAACUUUCUUUAUCCAUUAGAGGGGUAUUAGACACGAAAUUGGUUGUAAGUGAACAUAAUUUCUUCAUCAAUUAGUGUUGCAAGUAUAUUUUAAAUAGUAUAUGCCUUAUGGGGAUGGAACUUAGUCCAGUGCUUAUAUAUUUACUUAUAUAGAAGGAUUCCAAAUCACCUUCAUUACAAGUGUCAACAAUUUCCUGUUAUUCAGUAUCAUACUAUUACAAAAGAUAAAAGAUAUACCCGUGACCUUUACUGAAAAGAUCAUUUUUAAUCCGCCCUAUACCGACAAAUCAUGAGGUGUUCAUAUUUUUCUGGAACCUUUAAAGAUAUAUUUGAUUUAUGAUCUGAUGAAUGACAAAUACAAAUCGAAAAGAACAAGAGUUGUUUGUAAAACAUCAUUAUCAUGCCGCUAACAAUAGCCUGACAGAGGAAAACAGGAUAUGCCAUUUUUAAAUAUCAGCUACUUUGGUAUUUGAUCUUAUGACAAAAAGAACACUUGGAGUCAUUUACAGACUAAAGGAUAUCAUUUAAUGAAGUUUUACUGCAGUAGGUCUAGUUACGACUAGCAACCUAAUAAAACAUAAUAAAUUGUAGUAUUUACUAGCCUGGUUCAUCUUUGUAUUAGAUUUUCAUUCUCAAUACUAGAAAUAAAUUCGAAUAUUUACCUGGUA